UACAUGUACGCACCCAAAGAUGAGCUGAAGCACCGGCUGCUCUGGCGAGAGCCUUACACACAGCACGAGCCCAGAUGCAGUCUCUCAUCAAAGCAGCCCAGGAGCACGACGUGGAGUUCAUUUUCGCCAUUUCUGCUGGCCAGGACAUUGUGUUCUCGAGUGCUGGGGACAGGCUCCUGCUGCAGCAAAAACUCAGGUGGCCGCCCUGGGAUGCAGUGCCUUCGCGCUGCUUU
rnacentral:lncRNA from 1 species